rnacentral:rRNA from 1 species
AGAGACAGCAGUAGCCACGGGAAUACGAAGGGGGCUAGCGUUGUUCGGAUUUACUGGGCGUAAAGCGCACGUAGGCGGACUUUUAAGUCAGGGGUGAAAUCCCGGGGCUCAACCCCGGAACUGCCUUUGAUACGGGAAGUCUUGAGUAUGGUAGAGGUGAGUGGAAUUCCGAGUGUAGAGGUGAAAUUCGUAGAUAUUCGGAGGAACACCAGUGGCGAAGGCGGCUCACUGGACCAUUACUGACGCUGAGGUGCGAAAGCGUGGGGAGCAAACAGGAUUAGAUACCCGUGUAGUCCCUGUCUCUUAUAC